UCCAACCAGGCACAUACGAGACGUGGUCGCGGGCCGGCGAAGUGUACUGAAUUUGAAAAAUUACGUAAGCAUGGAAAAGUGUUGUUGAAGAUAAAUAGUGGAGAAACAGCACCAUGUUGCGAGAAUGCAAACAUGUUUACAACACGUUUAAGCUGGAUCAUUAAACAUCACUGCAACAUGAGCUACCCAAGAUGGAGUGAUGUACCCCAAGAGCAUAAGGAUGAAUUAAUCGAUCGUGUUCGGCGUGCUGAAAAUGCAAAUUUGGUGGACUUCUACAAGGAAACCCACUGGUCCAAGAAGAAAGAUAAAUUUGUGACACCUACUACCGAAGACAUUUAUGAUAUGGUAGGAAAGCUGGAUAAUUUAGAACCAGA